rnacentral:rRNA from 1 species
UAUCUCUGUAGAGUCUGCAUAUCAAUAAGCGGAGGAAAAGAAACUAACAAGGAUUCCCCUAGUAACGGCGAGUGAAGCGGGAAGAGCUCAAAUUUGAAAUCUUAAAGGGUUUCCCUUUACGAAUUGUAGUUUAAAGAAGUGUUUUCUGUUGAGGUUUUGGUAAAAGUUCUUUGGAAUAGGACAUCAUAGAGGGUGAGAAUCCCGUAUUUGACCAUUACUUUCCAACUUUGUGAUACACUUUCAAAGAGUCGGAUCGUUUGGGAAUGCAGUCCAAAAUGGGUGGUAAAUUUCAUCUAAAGCUAAAUACUGGCGAGAGACCGAUAGCGAACAAGUACCGUGAGGGAAAGAUGAAAAGAACUUUGAAAAGAGAGUUAAACAGUACGUGAAAUUGUCAAAAGGGAAGCGUUUGACACCAGUGUUGUUUUUCUGAAAAUCAAUUAAAGAACUGUUUAUGCUAAGCUUGUUUAGACUUUAUCAGCUAAUCUGUUUAGUUUUGAGCUUUUCUUUAAUGCACUUUUCAGUUAACAAGUCAACAUCAAUUUCUUUUGCUGUAAAAAAGCUUGAGGAAGGUGGCUUGAGAUUCGUCUUAAGUGUUUAUAGCCUCUUGCCUAUGCAGUCGGAGAGAUUGAGGUCUGCAGCGUAGAUCCUUCGGGGCUAAAUGCAUUUGUGCUAAGUUAUAGCAUUUUAUAGACAACUUGUUGACUAUGAUUUGUCUUGUAGCUUACUCGCUUAUGUUAUUUUACCUACGCUUAGGAUGUUACGAUCAGCUGAGCGCG